rnacentral:rRNA from 1 species
UGGAGGACCGAACCGACUAAUGUUGAAAAAUUAGCGGAUGACCUGUGGCUGGGGGUGAAAGGCCAAUCAAACCGGGAGAUAGCUGGUUCUCCCCGAAAGCUAUUUAGGUAGCGCCUCGUGAAUUCAUCUCCGGGGGUAGAGCACUGUUUCGGCUAGGGGGCCAUCCCGGCUUACCAACCCGAUGCAAACUGCGAAUACCGGAGAAUGUUAUCACGGGAGACACACGGCGGGUGCUAACGUCCGUCGUGAAGAGGGAAACAACCCAGACCGCCAGCUAAGGUCCCAAAGUCAUGGUUAAGUGGGAAACGAUGUGGGAAGGCCCAGACAGCCAGGAUGUUGGCUUAGAAGCAGCCAUCAUUUAAAGAAAGCGUAAUAGCUCACUGGUCGAGUCGGCCUGCGCGGAAGAUGUAACGGGGCUAAACCAUGCACCGAAGCUGCGGCAGCGACACUGUG